rnacentral:rRNA from 1 species
UACGUAGGGUGCGAGCGUUGUCCGGAUUUAUUGGGCGUAAAGAGCUCGUAGGCGGUUUGUCGCGUCGGCCGUGAAAUCUCCACGCUUAACGUGGAGCGUGCGGUCGAUACGGGCAGACUUGAGUUCGGUAGGGGAGACUGGAAUUCCUGGUGUAGCGGUGAAAUGCGCAGAUAUCAGGAAGAACGCCCGUGGCGAAGGCGGCUCUCUGGGACGGUACUGACGCUGAGACGCGAAAGCGUGGGGAGCGAACAGG